AGAAUCAAAAUCUCCACUUAAUAGAAAUAUAUAUAUAUAUAUAUAUAUUUAAAUUUUGCAGUGAUCUUGUGCUCCUGGAUCUUGCCUAGUUUCCACUUAAAUAAGCUGAGAGGUUUAUGCUACUUUCAAUGGACUUUGUUUAAAACCUCUGUUAGAAACUCCUCGUGUCUGGCAUUGCUAAACUGAGAAGGCAGUAUUGAAAAUAGGAGUUUGUCAUGUAACUCACUUUCAGAGAACCCAGAUCCAGAGUGUGCUGGACUCUGCUUAUCUAUUCUCUCAGCCUCUCUUAAAUGCAAAGGGAGAUAAUCUUUUCCUAGAAGCACUUAGAACAAGAUUUUAAACCAUGAGUGCUGAGGUAUCAGAGUUCCUUUUUACCCAAAUAUCUGGAAAUAUGGCCUUCCUUGUGAUGUUUCUACACAAUUUUAGCACAAAUGUAACAAUUAUAUCUGCAAAUGAGAAAAAUACAUUCUGCAAUAAGACUUGCCUGGACUGCAAAUUAAAAUGUUUAAAGAACAUCAUUCUUUAGUUUUAGGCUCACCUGUAGUGGAAUGUGAUUUAGUAGAUUCCUUGUCUACUUCUUGCUCAGCAUUUGCUGUCUAAACAUAGGAUGUGCUGCUCAGGUCAGUGUGCUUGCUUUCACUGUUAGGGAGAAGAUGGCAGCUCUGAAGGGAGCAGGAUGAAGCCAAAUACUGAACUGCGUGCUGGAGGCUGCUGUUGACUACAGAUGGAGUUGAAGUGAUCAGCUGAGAUCCACUUCUAGAUGGGUAAAGCCAGUUUGAGUGUGCUUACGUGUCUUCCGUGGGAAGAGGAGCAAUGGUUUGCCAUGAACACUGCCCACCAAAUUGGAAGGCAUGUCUCAAACGUUAGCAAACAUCAUAUUUGAUGCUUCUUCCUCUGCCCAAGAAUAUAACUUUAUCAAAAGGAAAUUUCCUACUCAUUUGAGCAGUCUCCAUAGCAACAGCGCUGUACACCUGUGAUGUAUGGGCACAAGCUGUUACAACCUAUGAACUAGCUGGAGUGAGCUGUGCCCCACCCCCUGCCAAAGCCAGAGUACGUCUCCCAUGUAUCCAUGGCACCUGGUUC